GAAGAUCUAUUCCUUCUUGAAAGACCUGGGCCAUGGUUGUCCAAGUCUUCUAGGUGUCAUCAUUCACUAUAAUAUUUCUCAUCAAUCAGUUACCAUCCUAAAAGGAUCAGCUGAAGGCCAUCAAUUGCAUCGAACAUCCUAAGAAGAAAGAAUCACACCUGGCCAGCAUCCUAAUAGUGAGCAACCUUUCUGCUUUCCUCAAGAGUCAACAGAAAAAGAUGAAGACUCUGACACUGCUGGCAUGCAUUUGUGCACUGACUGCUUGCUUCUCACUCUGUGAAGGUUGGAAAAAGCAAGGGAAAAUACAUCACAAAAGGAAUAAUGUCCAACAAUAUACAUUAGACCGCCGAUUACCAACUCAUCUCAAAUUUCACCCUAACUGGAAUAUAUUAAUUCAAAAGCAUUUAAUUUUUGGUCCACACAGAUACCCAAAGCGUCCAAAUCCAAACAGAAGAAAACCAAAGCCGACCCGUCCCCAGCCACCUAAAUGUCCAACUAAAACUAACACCGUUGUCAACAGUAGCACCUCAGAGGCCAACACUCAAAUCCCAUCUUUGAGUCCCAUAACUACUUCCAACAAAAUUGUUAAAUCUCCAGGUGUGACUUCUACUAAUAAUGUUUCCACCAUAUCUCAAAAAGAAGAUACCAAUACAGGCCCUUCUGCAGCUACCCCAUCAACACAACCUUCCCCCGCCCUGCCAGACACCACAGCUGCCCCACCUACAUCUUCCCUAACUACACCAGCACCACAACCUUCCUCACCUCUACUGGACCACACAACUGCCCCAAAUACCACACCUAAUCCUUCCCCAACCACUCCUGCUUCUCCAACUUCCAAAACUACAACUGCACCCACCACCCAAACUACUACUCCGGCCACUACUCUAACUACUACUGUUGAACAAACAACCUCACCUUCCAGCCAAAAUGCAAAUUCUCAAUUCUGGCAAUAUAUUUAUGAGUUAAUAAAGUACAUUUCUGGUAUUACACCAAAGAAAUAGUACAUCAUACAUUAUGAAGUGUUCUGUUGUCAGACAUGAGUUAUGAGUUAUUUUUGCCACCAAUCUCAAAGUGAAAUAACAAUAUUCUUCAAAUUUAAAGCACUAUCACUAAUCUUUGAAUCUAUUUACCUCACAUGACUUAUUAACAAGAAAAACCACCUCUAUCUCACAAAACAAGUGCAUAACUUUAAUAGAUCACUUUGUGGAACCUAUAGAGACAGCCCUCUGAGGGGGGAAAAGACAUUAACUAAACAGACAAAAUUACAUGGAUCAGGAAACAUUUAUUUUUCCCUAAAUGAUGGAAACCAUAAGGUCACUAUUCUAUACCCUCAACCAAGAACUCACCUGAAUUGUCUAAUCCCACAAAUAUAAAGGGAUAAUAUCAUGUCUCUCAAACAAAAACAUGUAAAUAUAGAUUAACCUAUAUUGUAGGUUAAUCAUUGUAUUACUGGUUAGAGACAAAAAUUCUUUAAACAAUCAUCCUAAAGCCUUAAAUCCAAUUCCAUUCCACAAAAUGUGAACCAAGGAAGGGAAAGUUGAUUUGAAGUGAAGAUUUGAAGUUAGUGAAAAUGAAAUCUGGCAGCCAAGCACAAACCAGGUCCCUGGCACUAUGUAUUUGAGAACAUAUGAUUGUUUAGACUUAUGGUUGAUUUUAAUUGUAUUAUAUCUAAGUUAAUUUGCAUCCAAUGUACUUGAUUCUAGCCUCUGUGAAUCACAAAAAACUUUUUGUGUAUGUUCACAUGGUGGUAAUAUUUUACUAUGAAUUCAAUUAAUUUUAUCUUACUAAUUCAAUUAAUUCAAUGUGAAAUGUAUUCAGCAGCAGAGUAUUUUCUAAAACUUUUAGCCAUACAUUUAUAAAUGUGUUUUAAAGCAAACCAUACUAAACUACUGCCCUGGUGUUACGUUUGCAAAACUGUCUCUGAAAAUAAACCCUGAUUGUAGUCAAUAGGAGAAUAACAACUAUCUACUUGGUAUAGAGAGAUAAUGUUAAUUUGGGAUGUGAAGGUAUUUUUACUUUGUUUUACUACUACUGAGAACUCUGAUGAUUUUAUUUAGAUUUUUUGUCAAAUAAUAAAGACUUCUCAUGGCAAUCUGUUUUCACUGUGUAUAUCUGCAAGCCCCUUAUCACUUAGAUUCUGAGAAGGGUGAAAAUGAACGUCUGCAUUUUUUGUCAACUCUACCACCAAUUAGCCAAUGACCAAACCAUCCCCAGCCACCUAAGUAUCCAGCUAAAAAUAACACUGUUUUUUAGGUAUGACACUCAAUAUCUCUCAACACUGGGGGUUUUAAUCCUUUAAACAAAGUGGUUAAUUUACUUAGAUUAACUUAAUCUUUACUUAUUUUUAACUUACAAAUACAUUUCCAAUCCAAAUUCUGUGUUUGCCCUGUGCUUCCCAGACUGACAAUAAAAGACCCCUAUUCCUUUCACUUAAUUCUGUUCCUUCGGUUUCAUCUCAGACUAGCUUAAAAGGAACUAUCAGAAAGAGAAAUUAAGAAAACAAUUCCAUUUACAAUUGCAUCAGAAAUAAUAAAUCACCUAGGAAUAAAUUUAACAAGGAGGUGAAAGAACUGUACACUGAAAACUGUCAGACACUGAUGAAAGAAACUGAAGAAGACACAAAUAAAUGAAAAGAUAUGCCCUGCUCAUGAAGUGAAAAAUUAGUAUUGUUAAGAUGUCUAUCCUACCCAAAGGAAUCUGCAUACUCAAUGCAAUCUUUGUCAACGUUCUAGUGGCAUUUUUCAUAAAAA
rnacentral:lncRNA from 1 species